UUAGAGAUGGAGUUUCACUCUGUCCCCCAGGCUGGAGUGCAGUGGUGUGAUCUUGGCUCACUGCAACCUCUGCCUCCCCGGUUCCAGGGAUUCUCCUGCCUCAGCCUCCCAAGUAGCUGGGAUUACAGGUGCCCGCCACCUUGCCCAGACAGGGUCUCCUUCUGUUGCCCAGGCUGGAGUACUACAGUGCCAUCUUGGCUCACUCCAGCCUCAACCUUCUGGGCUCAAGCAAUCCUCCCACAUCAACCUCCUGAAUAGCUGGGACUACAGGUGUGCACCAUCAUGCCUGAAUAAAUGUUUUAAUUUUUUGUAGAGAUGGAGUCUCACCACCUUGCUCAGGCUGGUCUCAAACUCCUGGGCUCAAGUGAUCCUCCUGCCUUGGCUUCCCAAGUUGCUGAAAUUACAGGCAUGAGCCACCACACCCCUAGCCCACAUAUAUAUUACAAUAUGAUCUCAUCUUCAUAUAUACAUUUUGGGAACACUGUUGGGGUCACAAAGAAAAAAAAUAAACUUGCACCCUGACCUUCCAGAGCUCAUGAUUCUUACAGAUGGUCUUCUAUGACCCCCUUUUCAUGAAGGUCCACAGUGAUGUUCCUGGAAGGCCUGAAUCCUCUGCAGACAGGUUCAUCUCCUUGUGCUCUUACCAGUUAUAGAUGUAUUUUGGACCUUGCCUUUAUCUUGAACUACAAUUAUGUAUUACAGCCCACAGUCCAGGAUGGCUCCUUCAUCUCUUUCUGUCAACACUACAUAUUCACAUAAGACGGCUGUAGUUUCUUUUUAUCCCUUUGUGUUACUCCCUUAAACUUGUCCUGUUUGAACUCUAUUCUAUGGUUCUUACCACUCACCCAGUUUACCAAAAUCACUCACUUAGGUCAGAGGUCAACAAACUGUGGCUCCCAGGUACAAAUCUAGCCUGCCACCUGUUUGUGUAAAUAAAGUUUCAUCACAAUACA